UGUUUUACGACACACGAGAAAUAAAGUUACCACGGGAUUUUAAUUUCUCGGUCUGCAUUAACAAAUAGAACUUCCGCCAUUCGAGUGAGAUGGAGAAAGAAGAACGCUGUAAAGAAUAGGAGCAUAUUGAAUUUUUUUCCUGGCAGAAGAAUAUUUUUCACUUCUUGAAAAAAUGAAGACUUUUCAAUUUUACAACGACUUAAAAGAAUAUCUUUUACGGGAAGAAUUUAGCAACAAUUUAACGGUCAUAGAGCGAAGUGAAAUACGACGUGUGUCCGUGAAUUUUAUGAUUAAAGUCCAUCAUCCAUGCCCUGGCAGCUCUACAGUGUGUAUCAGGACAGGAGGCAGAAGACUUAUUUCUUGGUGGCCCAGAAUACAGUAUCAGUGAAGUGGAAGAAUUUAACCGAAAGAUAGGGCAGCAAUUAAAGAAGGAGGGAAUGCUGCGAUAUCUGUUGGAAUAGAAGAUGAUGCUACUGCCCAGUGCUUCCAGAAUCCUUCAUUUGAGUCUUGGGUCUGAAGCUACUGCGUCAUUUCCAAGUAUUCUGGGGUAAUGGAUCUUGUUUUGUUUACAUUUUGUUUUUCUUAAUAUUCCAAGCUCAUUUACUUGACCUUAGCUUUAAUAAAAUGGAUGGCUGUCUCCUUCACAAUUGAUUUUAAAGUACUAUACUAUUCAUUACAUAAAAAGCUCUGAACAAUUUAGUCCCUUCCUGUAUUUGGUACUGUCUCUCCCCCGACACUCCUCAGUGUAAUCUUUAAUCCACAACCACUAAUUUGCUUAUGAAAGAACUGGUGAAGAAGCUUGCACAUGUAUACCAAAAAUAUAGAAUGCAUGGCUAUAAAUGAAAAACCUUUCAAAAUACUUUUAAAACUCCAUUUUUAAACUUCACCUCUGCUUAAUUCCCACUUCUAUCAGUUUAUGAUUUACUUCUGGUUUAUGAAUGGAACUGCAUACACUUUGAAAGAUUUACACCAGAUAAUAACCAUUGUUUUUUUUGCUGUUUUCAUUUUUUUGUCCAGUGAUGCCCUUUGCCCUGCACCCUGGUCAAGUCUUGUGCAACUGACUGUGAUGCUGAAGAGAGAAGAUUUCUGAAGACCCUCUUGAAGUGGAGCUGCAAUUGGAUUAACACCACAACAGUAUGCUUGCUGUGAAUGUCCACAGGGGCCUGGGGAGGCUGUGACCUUGUGACCCUGAGACAUUGUUUUGUCAAUCAUCCUGACCAACUGGACCUUUAUGUGUUCUUCAACAGGGCCAUCUGACCAUCAGAUAUAUUUAAGAAGAAGGACCUUUCAAUUUUCCUCUUGUUUACUUUUUAAUUGUAUAUAUAUAUUUUCGUUUUCAUAAAGUUAUAUAUAUUUGUUUAGCAGUUUGGGCUUUAUUAGUAUUAAAAUAUGUUAGAGAAGUUAUUUGUGGAAUAAUUUUAAUGAUCAAAAUAGCAAAAAAUGUAACUUUAAAUUUUCUGUGCUCUGGGUAAAAUAUGUUAAAGCUAUGUGGUGAUUUUUUACAAUUUUUUUUUUUUGUACAUUUGAUAUGUUUU